AACGAACGCUGGCGGCAGGCCUAACACAUGCAAGUCGAACGCCGUAGCAAUACGGAGUGGCAGACGGGUGAGUAACACGUGGGAACGUACCCUUCGGUUCGGAAUAACUCAGGGAAACUUGAGCUAAAACCGGAUACGUCCGAGAGGAGAAAGAUUUAUCGCCGAGGGAUCGGCCCGCGUCUGAUUAGCUUGUUGGUGAGGUAGCGGCUCACCAAGGCGACGAUCAGUAGCUGGUCGAGAGGAUGAUCAGCCACAUUGGGACUGAGACACGGCCCAAACUCCUACGGGAGGCAGCAGUGGGGAAUAUUGGACAAUGGGCGCAAGCCUGAUCCAGCCAUGCCGCGUGAGUGAUGAAGGCCCUAGGGUUGUAAAGCUCUUUUACCCGGGAAGAUAAUGACUGUACCGGGAGAAUAAGCCCCGGCUAACUUCGUGCCA
rnacentral:rRNA from 1 species